CACAUACUUUCUCCGUCCCGAAAUACUUGUCAUUGAAAUGGAUGUUUCUAGAUGUAUUUGAGUUCUAGAUACAUCCAUUUUCAUCCAUUUUGAUGACAAGUAAUUCUGGACGGAGGGAGUACUAC
rfam:Triticum aestivum genome assembly, contig: Triticum_aestivum_CS42_TGACv1_scaffold_288617_4AL